UUGAAGGCGUGGAGACUGAAGUCCUCUGUAUAUCCACAGAACAGGUAUGGCACAGUGGUACUACAGCCUGCCACUGUCCCACCAAUGUGCCUCCAUGCUAGCCUAGGGGGCCAAGUUGCAGGGAAGAGGGCUCUUCAGUCUCCAUGCCCUUCAAUCUUGGGCUGUC
ensembl:misc_RNA